UACGUAGGGGGCAAGCGUUGUCCGGAUUUAUUGGGCGUAAAGAGCGUGUAGGCGGCCAAACAGGUCAGCUGUGAAAACUCGAGGCUCAACCUCGAGACGUCGGUUGAAACCAUCUGGCUAGAGUCCGGAAGAGGAGUGUGGAAUUCCCGGUGUAGCGGUGAAAUGCGCAGAUAUCGGGAGGAACACCGGUGGCGAAGGCGGUUCUCUGGGCCUGUACUGACGCUGAGGCGCGAAAGCUAGGGGAGCAAACAGG
rnacentral:rRNA from 1 species